GUUGACCUCGGAUCAGGUAGGAAUACCCGCUGAACUUAAGCAUAUCAAUAAGCGGAG
rnacentral:rRNA from 5 species